GAUGAACGCUAGCGGCAGGCCUAAUACAUGCAAGUCGAACGGGUGGUCGCAAGACCACUAGUGGCGCACGGGUGCGUAACGCGUAACCAACCUGCCCCGAUCUGGGGGAUAGCCCGCCGAAAGGCGGAUUAAUACCGCAUAUACCCGCAGCCUGGCAUCAGGCAACGGGGAAAGAUUUAUUGGAUCGGGAUGGGGUUGCGUGACAUUAGCUAGUUGGCGGGGUAAGGGCCCACCAAGGCGACGAUGUCUAGGGGACCUGAGAGGGUGAUCCCCCACACUGGCACUGAGAGACGGGCCAGACUCCUACGGGAGGCAGCAGUAGGGAAUAUUGGGCAAUGGGCGAGAGCCUGACCCAGCCAGGCCGCGUGCCGGAUGAAGGCCUUCUGGGUUGUAAACGGCUUUUCUCAGGGAAGAAAAAGACCUUGCGAGGUACACUGACGGUACCUGAGGAAUAAGCACCGGCUAACUCCGUG
rnacentral:rRNA from 1 species